rnacentral:rRNA from 1 species
AUUGAACGCUGGCGGCAUGGCUAAAACAUGCAAGUCGAACGAAAUAGUGGCGAAAGGGCGAGUAACGCGAUCGAACGUACCCCGAGGUGGGGGAUAGCCUUUGGAAACGAAGGGUAAUACCCCAUGUCCUCUCAGGAGAAAAGCUCCGGCGCCUUGGGAGCGGCGAUCGUCCUAUCAGGUAGUUGGUGAGGUAACGGCUCACCAAGCCGAAGACGGGUAGCGGGUGUGAGAGCAUGACCCGCCGCAUCGGGACUGAGACACUGCCCGGACUCCUACGGGAGGCUGCAGUAACGAAUCUUCCGCAAUGGGCGCAAGCCUGACGGAGCAAUGCCGCGUGCGGGAUGAAGCUUCUACGAAGUGUAAACCGCUGUCAGGGUCUCGCACCACCGAGCAGACCCAGAGGAAGGACCGGCUAAUUCCG